GAUGAACGCUGGCGGCGUGCCUAAUGCAUGCAAGUCGAGCGAACGGACGAGAAGCUUGCUUCUCUGAUGUUAGCGGCGGACGGGUGAGUAACACGUGGAUAACCUACCUAUAAGACUGGGAUAACUUCGGGAAACCGGAGCUAAUACCGGAUGAUAUUUUGAACCGCAUGGUUCAAAAGUGAAAGACGGUCUUGCUGUCACCUAUAGAUGGAUCCGCGCUGCAUUAGCUAGUUGGUAAGGUAACGGCUUACCAAGGCAACGAUGCAUAGCCGACCUGAGAGGGUGAUCGGCCACACUGGAACUGAGACACGGUCCAGACUCCUACGGGAGGCAGCAGUAGGGAAUCUUCCGCAAUGGGCGAAAGCCUGACGGAGCAACGCCGCGUGAGUGAUGAAGGUCUUCGGAUCGUAAAACUCUGUUAUUAGGGAAGAACAUAUGUGUAAGUAACUGUGCACAUCUUGACGGUACCUAAUCAGAAAGCCACGGCUAACUACGUG
rnacentral:rRNA from 1 species